GUGCCCGUAGCUCAGUUGGAUAGAGCAUGUGCCUUCUAAGCACAGGGUCGUAGGUUCGAGCCCUACCGGGCACACCA
rnacentral:tRNA from 3 species